CCCCAAAAAAUUUAGUAUUUUUCUCUCCUUCUUCUACCCAUUUAAUCCUUGACCUUAUUUGAGCUCCUUUACUUUUUAUUUCAUAAAUUUUUCUUAGUUUACAUUCAUUAUAAAUUAAUUCUUCUUGAAAAUGUUUAAUAACAUCAUCUUUACAGUUUCUGUUUAUAUUUUCAUUUAAUUUUUUAAUCUUAUUUUCCAAUAUGUGUAUUUCACUUUUAUUUUUAUUUGCAUUUCUUUUACAGUAUGCAACAGUAUGUUCUCGAACUUCAAUUUUGAACAGAUCCCAUUGAUGGCCUAUGUUAUCAGUAAGUUUUGUUUUAUUUUUAUAUUUCAUAAUAAGACCUUUUAUUAUAUUUUUAUACUCUAUAUUAUCU
rnacentral:lncRNA from 1 species